rnacentral:rRNA from 1 species
UACAGAGGUCCCAAGCGUUGUUCGGAUUCACUGGGCGUAAAGGGUGCGUAGGUGGUCAGGUAAGUCUGAUGUGAAAUCUCCGAGCUCAACUCGGAAACUGCAUUGGAAACUACCUGGCUCGAGGGUUGGAGGGGGGACUGGAAUGCUUGGUGUAGCAGUGAAAUGCGUAGAUAUCAAGCGGAACACCAGUGGCGAAGGCGAGUCCCUGGACAACUCCUGACACUGAUGCACGAAAGCUAGGGGAGCGAACAGG